rnacentral:rRNA from 1 species
GAUGAACGCUGGCGGCGUGCCUAAUACAUGCAAGUCGAGCGAACAGACGAGGAGCUUGCUCCUCUGACGUUAGCGGCGGACGGGUGAGUAACACGUGGAUAACCUACCUAUAAGACGGGGAUAACUUCGGGAAACCGGAGAUAAUACCGGAUAAUAUAUCGUACCGCAUGGAUCAGUAGUUAAUGACGGUUUUGCUGUCACUUAUAGAUGGAUCCGCGCCGCAUUAGCUAGUUGGUAAGGUAACGGCCUACCAAGGCAACGAUGCGUAGCCGAGCUGAGAGGGUGAUCGGCCACACUGGAACUGAGACACGGUCCAGACUCCUACGGGAGGCAGCAGUAGGGAAUCUUCCGCAAUGGGCGCAAGCCUGACGGAGCAACGCCGCGUGGGUGAUGAAGGUCUUCGGGUCGUAAAGCUCUGUUAUUGGGAAAGAACAGAAGUGUAUGUAUCUAUGGCCGUCUUGACGGUACCUAAUGAGAAAGCCACGGCUAACUUCGUG